ensembl:misc_RNA Metazoa_SRP Metazoan signal recognition particle RNA
GCUGGGCAUGGUGGCGCAUGCCUGUAAUCCCAGCUACUCUGGAGGCUGAGGCAGGAGAAUCGCUUGAACCCGGGAGGCGAAGGUUGCAGUGAGCCGAGAUCAUGCCACUGCACUCUAGCCUGGGCAACAAGAGCGAAACUCUGUCUCAA